UGAGGAAUUUUGCGCAAUGGGAGCAAUCCUGACGCAGCAACGCCGCGUGGGUGAAGAAGGACUUCGGGUCGUAAAGCGCUGUCAGGUGGGAAGAAGGGUCCUAUCAGGAAAGGGGUGGGAUUUGACGGUACCACCAGAGGAAGCACCGGCUAACUCCGUGCCAGCAGCCGCGGUAAUACGGAGGGUGCGAGCGUUAUUCGGAAUUACUGGGCGUAAAGCGCGUGUAGGCGGGGGAGCAAGUCUGAUGUGAAAGCCCCGGGCUUAACCCGGGAAGUGCAUUGGAAACUGUUUUGCUUGAGUACUGGAGAGGAAGGGGGAAUUCCCGGUGUAGAGGUGAAAUUCGUAGAGAUCGGGAGGAAUACCAGUGGCGAAGGCGCCCUUCUGGACGGUUACUGACGCUGAGACGCGAAAGCGUGGGGAGCAAGCAG
rnacentral:rRNA from 1 species